UUAGCAGAUUUAGUUUUUGACAUCAAUAAUCACCACUUAUUUUUCUGUCUAUUAGGAGGCAAUGCAUAUAUUUUCCCAUUACAUCCUACUGCAUGAGAAACUUCAACUCUUGCACACUAGCUUCUCCCUACAAGACUGUACGGAAUUAACUGUGUUUCUUGCCAUGAAGAUUAUCAUUCUAGUUUGGUUUCUACAUGCUGUGCUUUGGCGAUGGGUUGAUUGACUUUAAAGAAUUCGUCAUAUUGCAAUCCACCGGAGUGUCCAAAGAUGCACUUCAGAAAUUGUUUUAUGUCUGGGACGCGAUGGAUGGCAGCAAGGAUGGGUUUAUCGCUGACAAAUUUGCUUAUCCCAAAUACUACCUGCAGAGGAGAGACA